rnacentral:rRNA from 1 species
AGCGAACGCUGGCGGCAGGCUUAACACAUGCAAGUCGAGCGGGCGUAGCAAUACGUCAGCGGCAGACGGGUGAGUAACGCGUGGGAACGUACCUUUUGGUUCGGAACAACACAGGGAAACUUGUGCUAAUACCGGAUAAGCCCUUACGGGGAAAGAUUUAUCGCCGAAAGAUCGGCCCGCGUCUGAUUAGCUAGUUGGUGAGGUAACGGCUCACCAAGGCGACGAUCAGUAGCUGGUCUGAGAGGAUGAUCAGCCACAUUGGGACUGAGACACGGCCCAAACUCCUACGGGAGGCAGCAGUGGGGAAUAUUGGACAAUGGGGGCAACCCUGAUCCAGCCAUGCCGCGUGAGUGAUGAAGGCCCUAGGGUUGUAAAGCUCUUUUGUGCGGGAAGAUAAUGACGGUACGCAAGAAUAAGCCCCGGCUAACUUCGUGCCAGCAGCCGCGGU